ACCUGUGGGAUGGCUCAGUUGGUAGAGUAUGAGGCUCUUAAGCUCAGGCUCAUGGGUUAGAGCCCCACCUUGGGUA